AGUUACCAGCACGUUAUGGUGGGCACUCUAAGAGACUGCCGGUGACAAACCGGAGGAAGGUGGGGAUGACGUCAAGUCAUCAUGGCCCUUACGGCCUGGGCUACACACGUGCUACAAUGGUCGGUACAAAGGGUUGCCAAGCCGCGAGGUGGAGCAAUCCCAUAAAACCGAUCGUAGUCCGGAUCGCAGUCUGCAACUCGACUGCGUGAAGUCGGAAUCGCUAGUAAUCGUGAAUCAGAAUGUCACGGUGAAUACGUUCCCGGGCCUU
rnacentral:rRNA from 1 species